rnacentral:rRNA from 1 species
UCCAAUGCCCUGAUGGGGAGCUUCCCGGAAACGAAAGUCUUCCGGUUCCGGGGGAAGUAUGGUUGCAAAGCUGAAACUUAAAGGAAUUGACGGAAGGGCACCACCAGGAGUGGAGCCUGCGGCUUAAUUUGACUCAACACGGGAAAACUCACCCGGCCCGGACACCGUAAGGAUUGACAGAUUGAUAGCUUUUUCAUGAUUCGGUGGUUGGUGGUGCAUGGCCGUUCUUAGUUCGUGGAUCGAUUUGUCUGGUUUAUUCCGAUAACGAGCGAGACUCCAGCCUACUAACUAGUGUGGGCAUUGCCACUGUGCUCUUACACUUCUUAGAGGGAUUGGCUGCGUCUAGCGGCACGAAACGGAGCAAUAACAGGUCUGUGAUGCCCUUAGAUGUCCGGGGCUGCACGCGCGCUACACUGGCAAAGGCAGCGUGCUUGUCCGUCUCCGAAAGGAGUCGGUAAACCCUUGAAAAUUUGCCGUGAUUGGGAUCGGAAAUUGCAAUUAUUUUCCGUGAACGAGGAAUUCCUAGUAAGUGCGAGUCAUCAGCUCGCGUUGAUUACGUCCCUGCCCUUUGUACACACCGCCCG